rnacentral:rRNA from 1 species
GAUGAACGCUAGCUACAGGCUUAACACAUGCAAGUCGAGGGGCAGCAUGAACUUAGCUUGCUAAGUUUGAUGGCGACCGGCGCACGGGUGAGUAACACGUAUCCAACCUGCCGAUGACUCGGGGAUAGCCUUUCGAAAGAAAGAUUAAUACCCGAUGGCAUAGUUCUUCCGCAUGGUGGAACUAUUAAAGAAUUUCGGUCAUCGAUGGGGAUGCGUUCCAUUAGGUUGUUGGCGGGGUAACGGCCCACCAAGCCUUCGAUGGAUAGGGGUUCUGAGAGGAAGGUCCCCCACAUUGGAACUGAGACACGGUCCAAACUCCUACGGGAGGCAGCAGUGAGGAAUAUUGGUCAAUGGACGAGAGUCUGAACCAGCCAAGUAGCGUGAAGGAUGACUGCCCUAUGGGUUGUAAACUUCUUUUAUACGGGAAUAAAGUGAGGCACGUGUGCCUUUUUGUAUGUACCGUAUGAAUAAGGAUCGGCUAACUCCGUGCCAGCAGCCGCGGUAAUACGGAGGAUCCGAGCGUUAUCCGGAUUUAUUGGGUUUAAAGGGAGCGUAGGCGGACGCUUAAGUCAGUUGUGAAAGUUUGCGGCUCAACCGUAAAAUUGCAGUUGAUACUGGGUGUCUUGAGUACAGUAGAGGCAGGCGGAAUUCGUGGUGUAGCGGUGAAAUGCUUAGAUAUCACGAAGAACUCCGAUUGCGAAGGCAGCUUGCUGGACUGUAACUGACGCUGAUGCUCGAAAGUGUGGGUAUCAAACAGGAUUAGAUACCCUGGUAGUCCACACAGUAAACGAUGAAUACUCGCUGUUUGCGAUAUACAGUAAGCGGCCAAGCGAAAGCGUUAAGUAUUCCACCUGGGGAGUACGCCGGCAACGGUGAAACUCAAAGGAAUUGACGGGGGCCCGCACAAGCGGAGGAACAUGUGGUUUAAUUCGAAGCAACGCGAAGAACCUUACCAGUCCUUGACAUCCCGAUGACCGACCUGUAACGAGGUCUUCUCUUCGGAGCAUCGGAGACAGGUGGUGCAUGGUUGUCGUCAGCUCGUGUCGUGAGAUGUUGGGUUAAGUCCCGCAACGAGCGCAACCCCUGUCCUUAGUAGCCAGCAGUUCGGCUGGGCACUCUAGGGAGACUGCCGGGGAUAACCCGGAGGAAGGUGGGGACGACGUCAAAUCAUCAUGCCCCUUAUGGGCUGGGGCUACACACGUGCUACGAAUGGUGCUAACAAAGUGAAGCAAGCUGGUGACGGUAAGCAAAUCGACGAAAAAUGGCGUCUCGAGUUUCGGAUUGUAGUCUGCGAACUCGAACUACGUGAAAGCUGGAAAUCGCUAGUGAAUCGCGGAUUCGGAAAUGCUGCGGUGAAAACGUUCCCGGGUUC